rnacentral:rRNA from 1 species
CCCUUAGAUGUUCUGGGCCGCACGCGCGCUACACUGUUCGACGCAGCGAGUCUUAACCUUGACCGAAAGGUUUGGGUAAUCUUCAGCAAAGUCGAACGUGAUGGGGAUCGAUCAUUGCAAUUAUUGAUCGUGAACGAGGAAUUCCUAGUAAGUGCAAGUCAUCAGCUUGCGCUGAUUACGUCCCUGCCCUUUGUACACACCGCCCGUCGCUACUACCGAUUGAAUGGUUCAGUGAGAUCUCUGGAUUGACGCUGGCUAGGGGGCGACCCUUGGCCGGACUGUUGAGAAACUGCUCAAACUUGAUCAUUUAGAGGAAGUAAAAGUCGUAACA